UCCACAGGCCGACGCUCUAUCCACUGAGCCAAACCGGUUUCAGCCAGAGGUUCUUCUUAAAGGAGGCUGUGACGCUCAACCACCUUAUGUUAGAGAAGGGGAUGGGGGACCCCAGGGUCACAUGGAAAUUUAGCAGGAAGUUGCCAAGAAGAACCCAAGACAGCAGACCGUAGAAUGCCAUUUCAGGGUUGAGUCAAUGCCACUGCCUCCGGGAAGCCUUCCCUGAACUCAUCCCAUUUUCCCUUCUCCUCCUUUCCCCUUGCCUGGAUCGGACACACCGUACCACCGUUAGCCACUUCAGUGCUGCCCCUGCUGGCAUGAGACACCAGGACACCAGGACCUGAGUCUUAUCCAUCGUGUACCCUGUGCCUGGGGCUCUGUAUGUGAUGGUUAUCGGGUGUCACGUACCCAUCGUGUGCCAGGCAAUGGGACAAACACUCAAUCGCGAAGUUAAAAAAAAAAAAAAAAGUGUAUGUAAUAAAUCCCUAGAAAAAGAAUCUUGGGUUCUUCUUGGCAACUUCCUGCUAAAUUUCCAUGUGACCCUGGGGUUUUCUCUUCUGAGUGUUUUCGUCUUGCUUCCUCGCAGCCAUGAUGUUAGUACGUCGUCAGUACGAUGGAAUCACACUGACAAGGAGGGAGAAGGUGACCCGGCCACGUUCCCGGGUGACCGAGCUCCACAUCAGAUCCGGGGCCGAUCGCCAUCAGCUCAGCGGCAUAUACCAUGAUCUGCUCAGCCAUUCACCCGCCCAUGAGCACCUGGGUUGCUUCCACCUGUUGACCUGGAAUAGGGCUGCAAUGAACAUGGGUUUCCAUGGACAGACCUGAUAGCACAUUCAAGGCAGUGACCAACCGAGGCCGCCCCUGUGUCAGGAACACGAGAGGUUUCUGGAGACCCCAGCACACGGCCCCUCACGUCCCUCCGAGUCCCAUGGCCAGCACGGAGGCUCAGUUCCUUAGAGCAUCAUCUAAUACGCCAAGGUUGUGGGUUGAUCCCCGGUCAGGGCACAUACAAGAAUCAUCCAAUGAAUGUGUCAAUAAGCAGGCCUUUCUCUCUCCCCCAUCCCCUCUUUCUCUAAGAAAUCAAUAAAAAUCUUUA